rnacentral:lncRNA from 1 species
UCAACUAAAUCUUAAACUCUCUUAUUUCCAAAAAUACCCAUGAUAUAGUCGCGCGCCUGUAUUCAUGCCGUAACCCAUCAUUUGCGAAAACAAAUCUCCAACUCUCUCGCAAUUUCAAAUUUGAACAACUGUCGUCUUCCGUUUGCAAUCGAUCCGUUUGCGGUCGAUCAUCAUCCGAUCACAAAUCUUCUGGUGGACAAAACCCUAGCUACAAGAUCAACAGUCAUGGGCAAGAAAAGUAAGUAUCAUAGAUUACUCAAAACCUAACAUGCAUCAAUUUUUGUUUUCGAAAAACUUAAAUGGUCAUAUUUUCUCAAUUGAUCAAAAACACAUAUUUAUUAUUGAAAAAUCACUGAAAAAUUGAGACUCGUAUUCACAAAAAGUACACAAUCGUAUAUAAUGUCCAAAAAAUCGUAUAUUGUGUUCAUGUCAAUAUACCUCUCUAAAUUAUCAUAUAUUUUCUACAUGCUUAUAUCCUGUAAAUGUUGACACACACCUUUACAGAAAAUUCACAAAAUCACAUACUUUAUUAUAAAUUUGAUAUAGUAGAUGGUGAUCUCUGUCAAAAUUCUCACAUAAAAAUAUUUAAAUUGUCUACACAAUAUGCUAUGAAGAAAACACCUUCACAUUGGCCAUUUAAACUCUAUUACAAUUCUCACCAGCAAAAAUAUGACGAUCCCUGUUAAAAUUAUCAUAUGAAAAAUCAAUUAGAACUAUUUACACAACAUGUUAUGAAUGGAGCAACUCCAAGUUGGCCAUUUUAUCUCUGUUAAAAUUCUCACCAACACAAAAUCAUUCUUGUUAAAAUGCUCAGGUAAAACAUCCCUUAAGACAUUCACAUGAUCUCUCAUAUGACGAGAGCCUCAAUAUUGACAUGAUCUCUUAAAAUUCUCAUCAGCAUAUAUAUCAUUGUCUCUGUUGAGGUAGAAAUCUGGAGCGAGCAAUUAACAGUCAAAAUUAUUCAAGGUGGCAACCCUUUUUGGAGAUGAGGCCGCUUAAAACCCUUUCGGCGUGGAGAUGAGAUUGUAGGAGAUAAAUCUACUAGACAAAGCACAACAGAGAAAUCAGAGAGCAAUAGCUUAUGAAUUGCUAUUGCAGUUACCCCUUUUUGGAGAAUGAUGAGCGGCUUUUAUAGAUGGAGAUUUCAUAGAUGUGUGAGGAGAUCACGGCGCAAUCAUCGAGCAAC